AUUCCAGCUCCGAUAGCGUAUAUUUAAGUUGUUGCGGUUAAAAAGCUCGUAGUUGGAUUUCGGGCGUGGAGGUUCGGUCCGCCGUUUCGGUGUGCACUGUCUUUCUGCGUCUUUCUGUCGGGGACGCGCUUCUGGCCUUAAUUGGCUGGGACGUGGAUUCGACGAGGUUACUUUGAAAAAAUUAGAGUGUUCAAAGCAAGCUAAAGCUCUGAAUACAUUAGCAUGGAAUAACGCGAGAGGACUCGGUCCUUAUUUUGUUGGUCUUCAAGGAUGGAGCAAUGAUUAAGAGGGACAGUUGGGGGCAAUCGUAUUUCAUUGCUAGAGGUGAAAUUCUUGGAUUUAUGAAAGACGAACUUCUGCGAAAGCAUUUGCCAAGGAUGUUUUCAUUG
rnacentral:rRNA from 1 species